rnacentral:misc_RNA from 1 species
GAUGAAGAACGCAGCGAAAUGCGAUAAGUAAUGUGAAUUGCAGAAUUCAGUGAAUCAUCGAAUCUUUGAACGCACCUUGCGCCCUUUGGCCAUUCCGAAGGGCAUGCCUGUUUGAGUAUCAUGAACACCUCAACUCUUCAUGGUUUUCCGUGAUGAGCUUGGACUUUGGGGGUCUUGCUGGCCUAUGGUCAGCUCCUCUAAAAUAAAUCAGCUUGCCAGUGUUUGGUGGGUAUCACAGGUGUGAUAACAAUCUACGCUUGUGGUUUUCCACCAGGUAACCUUCAGCAGUGGAGGUUCGCUGGAGCUCACAGAUGUGUCUCUCCUCAGUGAGGACAGCUCUUUGAAUGUUUGAUCUCAAAUCAGGUAGGACUACCCGCUGAACUUAAGCAUAUCAAUAAGCGGAGGA